GAUUCAGGGGUAGAAUUCUCACCUUCCAAGUGAGAGAGGUUUGGGUUCAAUUCCCAG
rnacentral:tRNA from 1 species